AUUAUAUGCCAAGAAGUUUAAAAAAAAUUUAAAACAAAAAAAAAAAGAAAAACUGAACAAUGGAACCUCAAAUGUCGAGACUCAUGAUACUAAUAAAAAAUUUAAUACUUAAUUUAUAAAAUAGCAUAACACACAACCAAGGUGUUUAGAUGGUUUAAAGGAAGCAAAGGUAACUAGCGUUCACAGCGCAAAUAUUGGGUUAGGGCUUGGUCAUAGGAGUUAACGGCCCUAUUGAAAAUGCCGGUGUGGUGGUGGAAUAGGAAGACGACGCCGACUUUGUGGAUGAAGAAGGAGAUGGCGGUGAUCCGGCCAAAAGGUUGCUGACACUCACACGCGAAGAAGAGGAGAACUUGCGUGAUCGUCGAUUCGAUGAUAUACGGACUGGACCAACAUUCGACUGGGAUGCAGGUUUGUGAGGCAUGCUGCUAUUAACGUUGGAGAGCGAGCUCAGAGAGACGGACGAUGGAGUACGAGAGACAGCACCAGAGGCUGGUGUAGACGCGGAAAAGGCGUUAGGAUCACACUUCAAAGGAGGAAUUAACGGAACUUGAGAAGGUCGUAGAGAAAGCGAGCGGAUAGAAGGUAAUUGAACGCAAGAUGGAUCAUCCAUGGGUCUCAAACGAGGAGAAUGUGCCGGUGUAACGAGAGGUGUGACGUCUGGGGUGGGACUAAAGCUCCUAGUGGAAAAGGUAGGACUACUCGGUGCAGUGCUGCAGGGGGAAACCGGGCGAGAGCGACGCUGGUAUCGGAAAUGGGCAAAAUCACUUGACGAAGAAUCAUCAUCAAAGCCAUUGGAUACGCUGGGUCGAGAAUAAGGCAAAUAGUUGUAAUGGGCAUAACGUAAAGACUGAGGAGCGUAAGCCGUAGUACCAACGCCAUACAUUGAAUGAAGGCUAGUACUACUGUUAGAUUUGCUAGGCAGAUAGGGAGUCUGCAUAGACGAAUUACUAUAUAAAGAGUUGCUCGAGCCAUUAGUAUACUUUGUAAAUGAACCAGUGGAUGAGUUAGAAGUUAAGCCUCUAUUGGGAACCGAUGCGAGAUGAUUAGGAGAAGUAUUGGAUGAUGAUGGCAGACUACCUACUACAUUCAUCUGCUUCGGUGGGGAAGGAGCAUUAGAUAAAGGCAUUAAAUUAACACCCGAAGACUUUGUAGGAGUGAUUCUAGGGGCAGCAUCCAAUUGAUUAGCAGCCGCUGAAGCCAACAAUUGCAUCUCGUUCAUGGACGACAAUCUGGAAUCGGGUUCCGAGCGUUGAGAAACAGCACCCGGAGGGGUACCCGUAACAUGGAUUGUAGUACCAUUUUGAGUGGUAUGAAGGGCAUCGGGAAUACCGUAGAUAGUGGCAGGUUGAGCUUGAGCGGGUAGGUUGUGAGGCUGUCCAUUACUAACGAAAGUAGCUUGUUGUUGUUGCACUGAAGCCGAGUAAUGGUGAGGAUAACUCAUGGAAACGGCGGCAGUGGCGACGGGAGGUGCAACCGACAUGCCAACUUGAGGAAUGAACACGGGGUAGGAAGGAUUCACAUUAGGAUUCAUUGAAGCAUUGGUCAUAUGCACACCAGCAUUGUUUGUAGAUGGUUCUAAAUUGCCAGCAGGAGAAUUGGAGCUUCUAGCAGAAUUAUUAGCGGCAGCGGCAGCAGCAGCGUUCCUUCUAGAGUUUGCAUUUGUAUGGAUGCGUGCAUGUCUCGUCAAUUCAUCGCUACGAGAGAAUCGUUUGGCACACCCAGGAAAAGUACAAACAUGAGGCUUUUCACCCGUAUGCGUUCGAAUAUGACGGGUUUGAUGCUCUAAACGAUAGAAGGCCUUGGUGCAUAGUGGGCAUUUGUAAGGACGAGGAGCGUCAGGAUUCUUGGUAGAGCGGGAUGGCUUACCGGUUGUUGUGGCAGUGGUGGCUUCGGACAUGACGAAGUAAUAAACAGAGCACGGCAAAGAAGGAGAAGUAAAAAAAGAGAAGAAAAAAAUAGCACGAGUA